rnacentral:rRNA from 1 species
CCUACGGGGGGCGGCAGUGAGGAAUAUUGGACAAUGGAUGGAAAUCUGAUCCAGCCAUGCCGCGUGCAGGAAGACGGCCCUAUGGGUUGUAAACUGCUUUUAUACGGGAGCAAUAAGGUCUACGUGUAGACUGAUGAGAGUACCGUAUGAAUAAGCAUCGGCUAACUCCGUGCCAGCAGCCCCGGUC